rnacentral:rRNA from 1 species
AUUGAACGCUGGCGGCAGGCCUAACACAUGCAAGUCGAGCGGGGUUUUCGGACCUAGCGGCGGACGGGUGAGUAACGCGUAGGAAGCUGCCCGAUAGAGGGGGAUACCAGUUGGAAACGACUGUUAAUACCGCAUAAUGUCUACGGACCAAAGUGUGGGACCUUCGGGCCACAUGCUAUCGGAUGCGCCUACGUGGGAUUAGCUAGUUGGUGAGGUAAUGGCUCACCAAGGCGACGAUCUCUAGCUGGUUUGAGAGGAUGAUCAGCCACACUGGAACUGAGACACGGGCCAGACUCCUACGGGAGGCAGCAGUGGGGAAUAUUGGACAAUGGGCGCAAGCCUGAUCCAGCCAUGCCGCGUGUGUGAAGAAGGCCUUCGGGUUGUAAAGCACUUUCAGCGAGGAGGAAGGGGUGUGUGUUAAUAGUACACACCUUUGACGUUACUCGCAGAAGAAGCACCGGCUAACUCUGUGCCAGCCGCCGCGGUAAAAC